CCUACGGGUGGCAGCAGUCGAGAAUCUUUCUCAAUGGGGGAAACUCUGAUGGUGCGACGCCGCGUGGGGGAAUGAAGGUCUUCGGAUUGUCAACCCCUGUUAUGUGGGAGCAAAUUAAAAAGAUAGUACCACAAGAGGAAGAGACGGCUAACUCUGUGCCAGCAGCCGCGGUAAUACAGAGGUCUCAAGCGUUGUUCGGAAUCACUGGGCGUAAAGCGUGCGUAGGCUGUUGCGUAAGUCGUGUGUGAAAGGCGGCGGCUCAACCCGCGGACGGCACAUGAUACUGCGUGACUAGAGUAAAGGAGGGGGAACCGGAAUUCUCGGUGUAGCAGUGAAAUGCGUAGAUAUCGAGAAGAACACUCGUGGCGAAGGCGGGUUCCUGGACAUUAACUGACGCUGAGGCACGAAGGCGAGGGGAGCGAAAGGGAUUAGAUACCCUAGUAGUC
rnacentral:rRNA from 1 species